UAACAACAAAAGCCUUCAGAAAUUUA
rnacentral:piRNA from 1 species